ensembl:lncRNA
AUGACUCUGGAGAAAUUAAUCUCUCAAUACUCCAGACCUCCUUUCCAUAUACCUGGUGAUCAAGUUACCCUGGACUUGCUUCCUGAUCCUGGUCCAAGACACUCCAGCUCCCUGCUGUGCAUCUUCACUGGCAGAGUUCCAUUCCUAGAAUUAUCUCCCUGCUCAUCCUUGCAUGUGGACUUCCUUCAUGUUCCUUCUAAAGUCAUCUUCUAAAAGAAACCUUUUGUCAUUCCCUUUAAUCUGAAUGCCUUCCCUCUAAAGUCAUUUCCAGUUUAUCUUAUGUGCAUCUGAUUCAUACAUAACUGUUUUGUAUUUUCUGUCACAUCAGACUGAGAGCUCUUUGAUAACAGGGAAUAUAUCUUCCCUAUCUUUGUGACCUCAUUACUUAGCAGAGUGUCUUGCACAUAGUAGGCUCUUCAUAAAAGCUUUUUGCCUUAUGGAUCUUGUACGGGUCACAGAGACAGUUAUAUCAACAUCCAGAUAAGUGACAGUAUAGUGUAGCUGUCUCUACCUUCUUUAAGACAUCAUUGAUUUAAAGAUAUGAUAUUGCAUUAAGAUCAAGGAGUGUUUUAUCUUUGCCUUUGAAUUGUUGAUGCCCAUUUCAAUGUCUAAAACAAUAUAUAUUUAAUAGAGACUGAUUAAUUGAUUUCAUCAGUAGGAGAACUUAAUGUAUUGCUAUGGAUGACAGCCCUGUUUUUAGUUACCUCCCAAACUAACUCUCUUACUUCAUGAUGCUGGAGAUCCUUCAACACUAGAUAAAAUCUUUCAUUUCAAAAUUAGAGUAAUGGCAUGGAAUGCAAACCAUUUGAAGAAUUUUUUCCAUCAACUUAAUUUCCACUGAAGUAUAAGUGUAUGAUAUCAGAUCAUUUUCUGAGAGCUUGUCAGGGAGAAAAUAUCAGAAAACAUGAAGCAGACAGGUUGCCCCUCAUGCUUGAAUUUCUCUUCCUUCAUAUUUCUACUUCUUAGCAUUCCUAGUUACCUUUAAGCUCAAGUGGGACCUUCAAUGAGACCUUUCCUGAUUCCCAUCUCUAACCAAGGUUUUAACAUUCUAGUGGCUUUAUACUUUAUAUAUUUAUUUUUUCAAAUAUUUACAAAUUUUCUUUUCUGAUAGAACCUAAGCACCCUGAAAGCUUGGACUGAUCCAUUUUUUUUUCUUUUCAAUCACAGUUGACUAACACAAAUUCAAGGACUUAAUAAUUUAACAAAAGCAAGUUGAUUGAUUCAUUGCACAGUUCUAACAAGACUGAAGACUCUAUGUUUAUUUAAUUAGAUUUAGAGAUAACCAUGCCUCCUCUGAUUUUUGAGUUGAUGUUUGUGAAUAUAGGCUGCUACGAAGUCAGUUUGAGAGAAUAGUACAGACCUUUGCUUUCAGGCUACCCAAAAAUUAUGAAAAUAGCUUUCUUGUGAGGAGGUAAAUAGAAAUCACAUCUGACAAAUUCAGUCCAAAACAGCUUCCCAUUUUAAGAAACAUUUUCCAGUGUAUUGUCAGGUUAUCCACUACAUAUCCUUCCACAUCUCUUUUGUUGCUUCGAUAACUCCAGUUGGCAGACCACUUCAAAUCUGCAUAAGGUUAUGAGUCACAAUAAAAGAUAUGAGAGAGGAAAGGAAAUCA